CGCUGGCGGCGUGCCUAAUACAUGCAAGUCGAGCGGACUUAAAAAGCUUGCUUUUUAAGUUAGCGGCGGACGGGUGAGUAACACGUGGGCAACCUGCCUGUAAGACUGGGAUAACUUCGGGAAACCGGAGCUAAUACCGGAUAAUCCUUUUCUACUCAUGUAGAAAAGCUGAAAGACGGUUUACGCUGUCACUUACAGAUGGGCCCGCGGCGCAUUAGCUAGUUGGUGAGGUAACGGCUCACCAAGGCGACGAUGCGUAGCCGACCUGAGAGGGUGAUCGGCCACACUGGGACUGAGACACGGCCCAGACUCCUACGGGAGGCAGCAGUAGGGAAUCUUCCGCAAUGGACGAAAGUCUGACGGAGCAACGCCGCGUGAGUGAUGAAGGUUUUCGGAUCGUAAAACUCUGUUGUUAGGGAAGAACAAGUACGAGAGUAACUGCUCGUACCUUGACGGUACCUAACCAGAAAGCCACGGCUAACUACGUGCCAGCAGCCGCGGUAAUACGUAGGUGGCAAGCGUUGUCCGGAAUUAUUGGGCGUAAAGCGCGCGCAGGCGGUCCUUUAAGUCUGAUGUGAAAGCCCACGGCUCAACCGUGGAGGGUCAUUGGAAACUGGGGGACUUGAGUGCAGAAGAGAAGAGUGGAAUUCCACGUGUAGCGGUGAAAUGCGUAGAGAUGUGGAGGAACACCAGUGGCGAAGGCGACUCUUUGGUCUGUAACUGACGCUGAGGCGCGAAAGCGUGGGGAGCAAACAGGAUUAGAUACCCUGGUAGUCCACGCCGUAAACGAUGAGUGCUAAGUGUUAGAGGGUUUCCGCUCCUUUAGUGCUGCAGCAAACGCAUUAAGCACUCCGCCUGGGGAGUACGGCCGCAAGGCUGAAACUCAAAGGAAUUGACGGGGGCCCGCACAAGCGGUGGAGCAUGUGGUUUAAUUCGAAGC
rnacentral:rRNA from 1 species